rnacentral:rRNA from 1 species
AGAGUUUGAUCCUGGCUCAGAACGAACGCUGGCGGCAGGCCUAACACACGCAAGUCGAACGGGGACCUUCGGGUCUUACGUGGCGCACGGGUGAGUAACGCGUGGGAAUCUACCCCAAAGUCGGGGAUAACCGCUGGAAACGGCGGCUAAUACCGGAUACGCCCUGAGGGGCAAAGCUUUUGCGCUUUGGGAGGAGCCCGCGUCCGAUUAGCUAGUUGGUGGGGUAAAGGCCUACCAAGGCUGCGAUCGGUAGCCGGUCUGAGAGGAUGAUCAGCCACACUGGGACUGAGACACGGCCCAGACUCCUACGGGAGGCAGCAGUGGGGAAUCUUGGACAAUGGGGGCAACCCUGAUCCAGCCAUGCCGCGUGGGUGAAGAAGGCCUUAGGGCUGUAAAGCCCUUUCGGCGGGGAAGAUGAUGACGGUACCCGCAGAAGAAGCCCCGGCUAACUCCGUGCCAGCAGCCGCGGUAAUACGGAGGGGGCUAGCGUUGUUCGGAAUCACUGGGCGUAAAGGGCGCGUAGGCGGACCACCAAGUCAGGGGUGAAAGCCCUGGGCUCAACCUAGGAAGUGCCCUUGAAACUGAUGGUCUUGAGUCCGGGAGAGGAGAGCGGAAUUCCCAGUGUA